ensembl:snRNA U6 U6 spliceosomal RNA
GUGCUCGCUUCAGCAGUGCACACCCUAAAACUGAAACAAUACAGAGAAGACUAGCAUGGCCCUUGAGUAAUGAUGACAUGCAAAUUUGUGGAUUAAAUGCAAAAAGGA